rnacentral:rRNA from 1 species
UACGUAGGGUGCGAGCGUUGCCCGGAUUUAUUGGGCGUAAAGGGUGCGUAGGCGGUUGUUUAAGUUUGGUGUGAAAUCUCCCGGCUCAACUGGGAGGGUGCGCCGAAUACUGAAUGACUAGAGUGCGGGAGAGGAGAGUGGAAUUCCUGGUGUAGCGGUGAAAUGCGCAGAUAUCAGGAGGAACACCGGUGGCGAAGGCGGGUCUCUGGGCCGAUACUGACGCUGAGGAGCGAAAGCGUGGGGAGCAAACAGG